AGUGAACGCUGGCGGUAGGCCUAACACAUGCAAGUCGAACGGCAGCACAGUAAGAGCUUGCUCUUACGGGUGGCGAGUGGCGGACGGGUGAGGAAUACAUCGGAAUCUACUUUUUCGUGGGGGAUAACGUAGGGAAACUUACGCUAAUACCGCAUACGACCUACGGGUGAAAGCAGGGGAUCUUCGGACCUUGCGCGAGUGAAUGAGCCGAUGUCGGAUUAGCUAGUUGGUGGGGUAAAGGCCCACCAAGGCGACGAUCCGUAGCUGGUCUGAGAGGAUGAUCAGCCACACUGGAACUGAGACACGGUCCAGACUCCUACGGGAGGCAGCAGUGGGGAAUAUUGGACAAUGGGCGCAAGCCUGAUCCAGCCAUACCGCGUGGGUGAAGAAGGCCUUCGGGUUGUAAAGCCCUUUUGUUGGGAAAGAAAAGCAGCAGGUUAAUACCCCGCUGUUCUGACGGUACCCAAAGAAUAAGCACCGGCUAACUUCGUG
rnacentral:rRNA from 1 species